rnacentral:rRNA from 1 species
CCUACGGGGGGCAGCAGUUGGGAAUAUUGGACAAUGGGGGGAACCCUGAUCCAGCCAUGCCGCGUGUGUGAAGAAGGCCCUCGGGUUGUAAAGCACUUUCAGUGAGGAAGAACGCCUGGUGGUUAAUACCCAUCAGGAAAGACAUCACUCACAGAAGAAGCACCGGCUAACUCCGUGCCAGCAGCCGCGGUAAUACGGAGGGUGCGAGCGUUAAUCGGAAUUACUGGGCGUAAAGCGCGCGUAGGUGGCUUGAUAAGCCGGUUGUGAAAGCCCCGGGCUCAACCUGGGAACGGCAUCCGGAACUGUCAAGCUAGAGUGCAGGAGAGGAAGGUAGAAUUCCCGGUGUAGCGGUGAAAUGCGUAGAGAUCGGGAGGAAUACCAGUGGCGAAGGCGGCCUUCUGGACUGACACUGACACUGAGGUGCGAAAGCGUGGGUAGCAAACAGGAUUAGAUACCCGAGUAGUC